UACAGAGGGUGCAAACGUUGCUCGGAAUUAUUGGGCGUAAAGCGCGUGUAGGCGGUUUGCUAAGUCGACUGUGAAAGCCCAUGGCUCAACCAUGGAAGUGCAGUCGAAACUGGUAGGCUUGAGUCCUGGAGAGGGUGGCGGAAUGCCCAGUGUAGAGGUGAAAUUCGUAGAUAUUGGGUAGAACACCGGUGGCGAAGGCGGCCACCUGGACAGCGACUGACGCUAAGACGCGAAAGCGUGGGGAGCGAACAGG
rnacentral:rRNA from 1 species